AGUGGGAUAACUGGGUCAAAUGGUGGUUCCAUUCUAAGUUUUCUAAGGAAUCUCCAUACUGCUUUGCAGAGCGGUUACACCAAUUUGCAGUCCCACCAGCAAU
rnacentral:pre_miRNA from 1 species